GACGGACGGUGCAAGCGUUGCUCGGAAUUACUGGGCGUAAAGGGUGCGUAGGCGGCCGUGCAAGUCUGGCGUGAAAGCCCCGGGCUCAGCCCGGGAAGUGCGCUCGAAACUGCGCGGCUCGAGUGCCGGAGGGGAGAGUGGAAUUCCUGGUGUAGCGGUGAAAUGCGUAGAUAUCAGGAGGAAUACCGGUGGCGAAAGCGACUCUCUGGACGGCAACUGACGCUGAGGCACGAAAGCGUGGGGAGCAAACAGG
rnacentral:rRNA from 1 species